rnacentral:rRNA from 1 species
AUUGAACGCUGGCGGGAUGCUUUACACAUGCAAGUCGAACGAGUGGCGGACGGGUGAGUAAUAUAUCGGAACGUGCCCAGUAGCGGGGGAUAACUACUCGAAAGAGUGGCUAAUACCGCAUACCAUUCGAGCGGCCGAUAUAGGAUUAGCUAGUUGGUGGGGUAAAGGCUCACCAAGGCAACGAUCCGUAGCUGGUUUGAGAGGACGACCAGCCACACUGGGAGUGAGACACGGCGCAGACUCCUACGGGAGGCAGCAGUGGGGAAUUUUGGUGAAGAGGGGAAACCAUGAUCCAGCAAUCCCGCGUGGUGGAGAAGGCCUUCGGGUUGUAAAGUACUUUUGUCAGUGAAGCGGUAUCUGCAGAAUAAGCACCGGCUAACUACGUGCCAGCAGCCGCGGUAAUUC